ensembl:lncRNA
GGAAAUGGCAACCCACUCCAGUAUUCUUGCCUGGAAAAUUCCAUGGACAGAGGAACCUGACGGGCUACAGUCCAUGGGGUUGCAAAGAGUUGGACUGAGCACAAACGCAUGAUCUAAUUUAAUAAUAAGGAUGCUGUUUAGGAGAUUAUGUGUUUCCAUGCCUGCUAAUCCAGGAAUUCAAGGCGGAAGGCAACACUGGCCAGCGCCCAGAUCCUCAACCAGCCCUUCUAUCUGGAGGCUUACCGAAUGUCUGAUCCACAGGAAUGGAAUCCCAUACAGCAGAGCAUCCAAGCAGGGGCUGUACUUCAGAUGCAGCUGGUGUGGAACCAGGGGCCCUCUGGCUGUGUCAUGUACUGCACCACCCAGAGAGAAAAGACACAGAUGAAGUAGUGGAAGAAUUGCUACCUGCUCCUGGGAUCAGGAAGGCCUCAGAUCCUCACACGCUCUGCGACUCCUGAGUUUUUCACUGAAUGCUAUUUUCCAUGUGCUUAUCAAAUGUGAGCGCAUCAGGGUCUUUUCAAAUGAGUCAGCUCUUUGCAUCAG